AAUGAACGCUGGCGGCAGGCCUAACACAUGCAAGUCGAACGGAUCCUUCGGGAUUAGUGGCGCACGGGUGCGUAACGCAUGGGAAUCUGCCCUUGGGUUCGGAAUAACAGUUAGAAAUGACUGCUAAUACCGGACGAUGUCUUCGGACCAAAGAUUUAUCGCCCAAGGAUGAGCCCGCGUAGGAUUAGGUAGUUGGUGGGGUAAUGGCCCACCAAGCCGACGAUCCUUAGCUGGUCUGAGAGGAUGAUCAGCCACACUGGGACUGAGACACGGCCCAGACUCCUACGGGAGGCAGCAGUGGGGAAUAUUGGACAAUGGGCGAAAGCCUGAUCCAGCAAUGCCGCGUGAGUGAUGAAGGCCUUAGGGUUGUAAAGCUCCUUUACCAGGGAUGAUAAUGACAGUACCUGGAGAAUAAGCUCCGGCUAACUCCGUGCCAGCCGCCGCCGUAA
rnacentral:rRNA from 1 species